rnacentral:rRNA from 1 species
ACGGGUUAAUAUUCCCGUACUUGGUGUUACUGCGAAGGGGGGACGGAGAAGGCUAUGUUGGCCGGGCGACGGUUGUCCCGGUUUAAGCGUGUAGGUGUGUGUUCCAGGUAAAUCCGGUUCACUUUAACACUGAGGCGUGACGACGAGGCACUACGGUGCUGAAGCAACAAAUGCCCUGCUUCCAGGAAAAGCCUCUAAGCAUCAGGUAACAUCAAAUCGUACCCCAAACCGACACAGGUGGUCAGGUAGAGAAUACCAAGGCGCUUGAGAGAACUCGGGUGAAGGAACUAGGCAAAAUGGUGCCGUAACUUCGGGAGAAGGCACGCUGACAC